rnacentral:rRNA from 1 species
UGGGGAAUCUUGCACAAUGGGGGAAACCCUGAUGCAGCGACGCCGCGUGAACGAUGAAGCCCUUCGGAGUGUAAAGUUCUUUCGACAGGAACGAUAAUGACGGUACCUGGAGAAGAAGCUGCGGCUAACUACGUGCCAGCAGCCGCGGUAAUACGUAGGCAGCGAGCGUUGUUCGGAGUUACUGGGCGUAAAGAGUGCGUAGGCGGCGAGCCAAGUUUGGUGUGAAAUCUCCCGGCUUAACCGGGAGGGUGCGCCGAAAACUGGUUGGCUGGAGUAUGGGAGAGGAAAGCGGAAUUCCAGGUGUAGCGGUGAAAUGCGUAGAUAUCAGGAGGAACACCUGCGGUGUAGACAGCUUUCUGGACCAAAACUGACGCUGAGGCACGAAAGCGUGGGUAGCAAACA